rnacentral:tRNA from 1 species
AUUAAUAUACCUUAUUUAAAGGAGCAUCUUGAUGAGAUGAACAUGGACCUGUGUCUUAUUGGUG